GAACGGAGAGUCGCUAUGACAGUCCGCAGGUUCACCGCAGGAUUUCCCGAGGAUUUCGUGCUGGGCUUGGCACGGCCUCGGCGUCCGUGCACUUUGCCGCUUUGUAAUUGGUCCGCGCUUGAUGACUCUUAAUUGAUCGGGCUCUUGUGCUGGGGGACAGCUCCACGAGCACGUGAGCAAAAGGCGUCAACAAUCCGGCGAUGUCUUGCAAACGAGAAAGAGAAAUCCCUUUGUGUUUAGUUGUGGCAACGGUUUAUUUUUGCGCGUUUCGGGUUUGUCAUUCGGUGGGUUUGGGACAGUCGGGGGAUGGUUUCAGUACUUACCAACUUCAGCAGUCAACGGACACCGGGCGGGAAAAGAUUAAGCAAGACGACGACGACGACGACGUCCUGCGGGGGGGUUGGAACUCGGUUGAACAGGUCAUCCAGGGCGCAAAUCCGCGCAGAACCAAGGAACCGGGUCUCCAGGGGCCUCGGACGGAAUCCGCCGGCUUUCCCGCUGAGCCACUCCCGUAUUUCGUUGUGCCGAAACUUGAUGAAACUGGAAGCGACUUUGCGCCCAGCAGCUUGUCUUGGACCGUUGGUAAUAUCAGCACGGUGCUAAGGGCCCCAGCUUCACACUCCGAAGACAGAUAUCAAGCAGAUUUUACAGGUUUCCGUGGAGUCCAGGGGAAGGUUUUGGGUCCAUCAUUUGACUCCAGUCCACAUUUCUCUGAGUGGCUGGCUAUGAGGCCUUUGGUGCAGUGUGACGAGAAUGUCAUGACCUUCACUGCCUCAGGACAAGGAGUGACACACCUGUUAGUGGCCAGAGAGGGAGCGUCUCCCAUCUCUCUGUUCCAGUUACCUCCAUACUGUGGGUACUCAGUGAGGACAUCAUGGAGUGACCUUGAGAUGAUGGUGCCUUAUGACGCAUGUUACAUUACGCAGGAGAAUGACAGUUAUGUGUUGCCCAUGUUGUGGUGGGGCAGCCCUCUGAAGCUCUCCUGCCCGGUGCAGAUGUCCACUCCUGCCCCUUCUUUCUCCCUCUCUGCCCCUUCAGUCUUCUGCGCCCCCCAAGGCAUGGCAGUGCAGAUAUCUGGGCAGGAGCAGGCUAUACCACUGCUGGGAGUCAUAGUGAAUGGAGGCUGGGGUCCAUUUGUAUCUGAUGAGUGCGCGCAUCGUCUCCACUCCCAACCUGACCAGCUUAUCUUCUUCAUCCCAUACAGUGUUGCUUGCGUCACUAGUGGUGAGGGGCUGCAUCUCCAUCUUAUAUUAGAUGAAGAGGAAUAUAUCCUCUCCUGUCCAGUCAAUCCUCAGUUUCCGUAUGUCCCAGAUCCUGUCAGCCCUGCACCGACCUCCCCUCCCCCUCCCCCUCCUCAGCCUCCAACCAAGGAGCAGAUUGCUCAACUUCCAGACUACCCUUACUACCCGUACCCUGGGAUCCAGUACCCCCAGCUUCCCCAAGUCUACCCUCCUGGCCCACAACCUGUCCAUCUCCCCCAGCCCACUCCAGGCAGUCCUCCUGGGCCGCAGCAGCAGCCUCUCAACCCCACAGGGUUGGGCAAGUUGCCCGACUCUCCUGGAGAGCACCCAAAAUACCCUUCCCCUCCUUACCAGCCCCCUGUGGUGGUACAAGGUACAUCUAUCCCAAAUCUUAACCCAGCGCAGGAUAGUCAUUCCCAUCAAGUUUCUAAAUUACCUCUUGGCCCUUCUCAAUAUCUGUCUGGUCUGUACUACCCCCAUGUGUCAUUGUACUACCCUGCAGUGACAACGGAUCUGAACCCUGCAGCUGAAAAAACUACUACUACUGUUCCUCCAGCUACCCAGCCAUCCAGACCACCAGCAAGUCCUUAUUACCUUCAGUAUUAUCUUCAGAUGCCUUACGAUCCUGCACUCACUGCAGUACAAGUGACCCAAGCACCUGCUCCUCUCCCUCUCAGCCCAUCUUCUCCUCCUAGCUCCUUUCCACCAAAACAACCUGUGGGUCCACAGUACCAAGUCGAUGCAUAUUAUCCACCUGCUUUUUACAGCUCUUACUAUCCUUAUGGGCGAGUUUUCUACCCAGAAUCUGGUCUUGAGGAACAACCACCAUCUGCCUUACAUCCUACUACUGCUCGACCUCCUACCACCAAAACUACUACAAGGAUGGUGGUUCCCAAACAACCUGUCAGUCCCAGCCAUCCCUCUGCCCAUUUUUACCCCCAAAGACCCAUUUACUUCCAGCCGCCCACACCUCAGCCGCUUCCCAAAGAGAAACCUCCAAUCAUUCCUCAGGAACCUCAGAAACCAGCUGCUCCACAAGCCACCUGCCCCCCUUACACUCACACCAUUUGUGGCUACUACUCUUACCCCUAUUAUCCUUAUUAUCAUCCUCUCUACCCACCACACUACCAUCCAACUUACCCUCCUGUGCCCCAGUAUCCAGAGAUUCAACCACCGAUGACCACAAAAAAGCCUUUCACCACCACCACCACCACCACUACUACUCCAACUCCCACCAGUACCACAAUGUCCACCCCAGCUCAGCCCACUACACAGAUGCCCCAUCUCCAGUGUCUGAUGGGGAGGAUGGUUGUCUUCCUGCCUUUUGCUCACCCACACUCCAUCCAGGUCAGAGACCAAAUGAAGACAUGGCUGUUCCUCUCCAAUGUGUCUCCACUGUGUGGUUACAUGCUACAGAUGGCUGAGGGCUCUGGGGUAAUCCUUCACUCUCCUCUGCCCGCCUGCCACAGCCAGCCACGGACUCUCACAACCAUAUACUUACCUCUGAGGUUUUGGGACCUGUCCAUGGCGCAGUAUAGAUAUCUGGAACUCCAAUGCCCUUAUGAAAGUAUCCCGGAAACUCCUGCACCAGUUACCCCACCUGUCUCCCCCACUCCACCCAGCACCACCCUAACUCUUGUCCCGAAGCCAAGAGUCGUCUGCUCCUCCCAUCAGAUGACUGUGAAGCUCCCCCCUGGUCCCAUCUCUGGAAUUCUUCUUAAAGACAUCCAAGGAAACCAGAUGAACCUCCAGGAUGCUCCAAAGCACUGUGGGUAUUCUGCAAGCAAAAGCAAAGAUGGCAAAAUCCAUUUAAGUCUCAGGUUACACUCACGCUGCCACAUGAGCGUGCAGGGUAAAAUGUACAUCAUCGCUGUUGUCUACAUGACAGUAUAUGGGAGAAGGGAGGCACAGUUUUCUUGUCCAGUAGUCAUCCCAGGUUCCGGACAAGAGUGCACCCUUCCUAACGAACAGCGUCUCCCCUGUGGACCCGUGUCUGUAUCCCAGCCACAGUGCUUCUCCAUGGGCUGCUGCUUCAGCAAGCAUCCCCCUGCCUGCUACUACCCCAUGGAUGAGUGCACUAUUGACCGCCACUUUGUCUUCUCCGUGCCUGCCUCCCUCACGGAGCCCCCUCUUUCCCCUGCCCUGCUUGUCGCUGCCAGCAACUCCACCUGCAAACCUCAGAGAGUGACUUCUGACUAUGCAUUGUUCAAGAUCCCAAUGGAUGGCUGCGGUGCACGCAGAGUGAUGGUGGGGAAAACGGUGAUCUACAUGGUGGAGGUCAUCAACAAGGUUCAGGCAAUCAGCCUCAACUAUGGCACCAUCACAAGAGAUUCUCCUGUAAGGUUGGUGGUGGAGUGCCGGUUUCUGCCGGGCAGUGUCCUGACUGUUAGCUACCUCGUUAAAACUCCCACCCUUGGACCCGGAGUUCAGACCCAGGGGGUGUUUGGAGUCCAGCUCAGGAUUGCCAAAGACGCUAAGUACAGCAGCUACUACCCUCAGUAUCACCAGCCCUUGCAGAUGCUGCUGGGGAAACUCCUCUACCUGGAAGUGCGGCUGCUUAAUGCACCAGAUCCCAGUUUGGUGUUGCUGGUGCACUUCUGUGUGGCCUACCCCCGCUCUGGAAAAUCUGUGUGGGUGCUGCUUUACAAUGGAUGUCCCAACCCGUUGGAUCCAGCCCCGCAGCAGGUUGUGCUGUCUGAUCCUCGACCACCCUUUCCCCAGGGUCAGAUCCGCCGCUUCACCAUCAGCACCUUCCAGUUCCUUCCUGAUGGUGAGUUCAAGGACCCAGAUGAAGAGAUCUACUUCAUGUGUUCAACAGAAAUCUGUUCACCACAUGAUGGACCUUGUGUUGAGGGAUGCUUUGGCCAGUGACGUUACGACAUGGAAAAUGCUUGAAGUUGGUUGAGACGGAGAUGAUGAUUAUGAUGAUCUGGCCGCAGACAACACCAAUAAAAGCUUUUAGGGGACA